UACGUAGGGGGCAAGCGUUGUCCGGAUUCAUUGGGCGUAAAGAGCGUGUAGGCGGCCAGGUAGGUCGGUUGUGAGAACUGGAGGCUCAACCUUCAGAGGUCGACCGAAACCAUCUGGCUAGAGUCCGGGAGAGGAGAGUGGAAUUCCUGGUGUAGCGGUGAAAUGCGCAGAUAUCAGGAAGAACACCCGUGGCGAAAGCGGCUCUCUGGAACGGUACUGACGCUGAGACGCGAAAGCGUGGGGAGCGAACAGG
rnacentral:rRNA from 1 species